rnacentral:rRNA from 1 species
AUACGUAGGGGGCAAGCGUUGUCCGGAAUUAUUGGGCGUAAAGCGCGCGCAGGCGGUUUUCUAAGUUAGGUGUGAAAGCCCACGGCUCAACCGUGGAGGGCCACCUAAAACUGGGAGACUUGAGUGCAGGAGAGGAGAGCGGAAUUCCACGUGUAGCGGUGAAAUGCGUAGAGAUGUGGAGGAACACCCGUGGCGAAGGCGGCUCUCUGGCCUGUAACUGACGCUGAGGCGCGAAAGCGUGGGGAGCAAACAGGAUUAGAUACCCUGGUAGUCCACGCCGUAAACGAUGAGUGCUAGGUGUUGGGGACUCCAAUCCUCAGUGCCGCAGCUAACGCAAUAAGCACUCCGCCUGGGGAGUACGGCCGCAAGGCUGAA